AGUCAGUAGGAGUAGACCCGAAACCGGGUGAUCUACCCAUGUCCAGGAUGAAGCUGCCGUAAGAGGCAGUGGAGGUCCGGACCCACAUCCGUUGAAAAGGGUGGGGAUGAGGUGUGGGUAGGGGAGAAAUUCCAAUCGAACCCGGAGAUAGCUGGUUCUCCUCGAAAUAGCUUUAGGGCUAGCCUCGGUCAUGAGUCUUGUGGAGGUAGAGCACUGAAUUUCCUAGGGGGCGUCAAAGCCUACCGAAGAAUAUCAAACUCCGAAUGCCAUGUAGACAGGACCGGGAGUCAGACUGCACGAGAUAAGUUGGGCAGUCAAAAGGGAAAGAGCCCAGACCUUCAGUUAAGGUCCCAAAGUGUACGUUAAGUGGAAAAGGAUGUGGGGUCUCGAAGACAACCAGGAUGUUGGCUCAGAAGCAGCCAUUCAUUCAAAGAGUGCGUAAUAGCUCACUGGUCGAGAGGCCCUGCGCCGAAAAUGUCCGGGGCUGAAACGUACCACCGAAACUAAGGGAUCCGAAAGGAUCGGUAGAGGAGCAUUGCAUGCGGAACGAAGCAGUACCGUAAGGAGCUGUGGACUGCAUGGAAGAGAGAAUGCCGGAAUGAGUAGCGAGAUAAAGGUGGGAAUCCUUUAGGCCGAAUAUCCAAGGUUUCCAGGGUAAAGCUGAUCUGCCCUGGGUAAGUCGGGGCCUAAGGCGAGGACGAGAGUCGUAGCCGAUGGACAACAGGUGGAGAUUCCUGUACUGCGGUAUGACAGAACUGUGGGGACACGUAAGGAAAGCGGAAGCCGGGAAUGGAAAGCCCGGUGCAAGCAGGGUACCAGACACUCAGGCAAAUCCGGGUGUCAAUGGGAAGCUGUGAUGCGGAGCGAAAUACAAGUAGCGAAGUCCGUGAGCCAUGCGUCAAGAAAAGCCGCUAUUGUUUAUACCGUACCCGUACCGUAAACCGACACAGGUGGAUGAGGAGAGAAUCCUAAGGCCGGCGGAAGAAGCAUUGUCAAGGAACUCGGCAAAAUGACCCCGUAACUUCGGGAGAAGGGGUGCCACUGAGAAGUGGCCGCAGAGAAUAGGCUCAAGCAACUGUUUAGCAAAAACACAGGUCUAUGCGAAACCGAAAGGUGAGGUAUAUGGGCUGACGCCUGCCCGGUGCUGGAAGGUUAAGAGGAGAGGUUAGCGCAAGCGAAGCUUUGAAUUUAAGCCCCAGUAAACGGCGGCCGUAACUAUAACGGUCCUAAGGUAGCGAAAUUCCUUGUCGGGUAAGUUCCGACCCGCACGAAAGGCGUAAUGAUUUG
rnacentral:rRNA from 1 species